AGGAUCUGUCCCUAGUACGAGAGGACCGGGAUGGACGUAUCUCUGGUGGACCUGUUGUGGCGCCAGCCGCAUAGCAGGGUAGCUAUAUACGGAACGGAUAACCGCUGAAGGCAUCUAAGCGGGAAACCGACCUGGAAACGAGUAUUCCCUGAGAGUCGUGGUAGACGACCACGUUGAUAGGCCGGGUGUGGAAGUGCGGCAACGCAUGAAGCUUACCGGUACUAAUAACUCGAUUGGCUUGAUCGU
rnacentral:rRNA from 1 species